CUGGUUUAUGGAGCCAAAGCCGAAGCAGCCGUAGCGAUUGGGUUUGAUGAUUUCAUUGCCGAUGGCUUGAGAGGUACUGGCUUUUACCAGAAGGCUCACCUGGAGAUCAAGAAAGCUGACGGCAGUGAUGCUGUCAUUGCUGAACAAGUAUUUGAGAAGACCAAGGAAAAGUUUACCUUGUAUUAACAUCUUCAGUUCGUUACCAGAAUCAGACAGCAGUUUAUGAUAAACUGCUCAUUUAAGUUCUAAAUAAUAACUAUGCAUUGUUUGCCCAUUUAGGAUGGCAGUUUAUGAUAAACUGCCCAUUUAAGUUCUAAAUAAUAACUAUGCAUUGUUUGAUUUCAGAAAUCAUGUGAGAAAUAAAAGCUAUGAUUAAUUUUAAGGUCAGAAUUUAUAAAGAAAAUGGGAACCAUUAUUUCGAAGUUAACAAACAAAAAUGGCAUUGACACAGAUUUUAUGAACUGUUGCCACGGAGGUCAUAAAACUGUGAUUUUAGGGAUCUGCACCAUAGGCAAGGUUUAGAAAAAAAUGGCUAACAGAUGUAGAAUAUAAUUAUAGGAUCAUAUUGGAGUAAAUCAAGUAAUUUUAACCAUGACACGGUAAAAAUAUAUGUAAACGACAUGACAAAUAAUUUUAGCAAAAAUUGCAUAAGAGUUUGAAAAAAAAUGUUUUAUAUUUAAUAUAUUAAUACGAAUUGUAAUAAAAUAAUUUUUAUAUUUUACACAUAUUUAAUAUAAAAUCAAUAUACAAAUUACCUCAAAAAUUAAUAUGAUAGCAAACAAAGGCCAUGUCCGAGCCUUACAAUUCCAACUUUAAAACACUUUUCCAUGAUUCCAAGCUGUCCAUAAAAAUCAAAGACAAAGAGUGCAAGUUUGGUUAAUUUUAAUUUCAAAUAUAUCUGCCUUUUAUCUUUCUUUUACUUGUAUCUGUCUCAUCUUUAAUUCCCACCAACGAUUAACUUCCACGUAAACUCUUUGAAUAGAUUAAUCUUUGUAUACAUGUUUGAUUUUUGAUGAAUGAGAAUCUGUGAUACAAUUUUUUCUGGUCUCUAUCAUGAAAAAUUAACCCUUCUCCCAGCUUUCUUUCAGUAUAUAGCAAUAAUGUCGUUUGAAAGCAAAAAAGUUAUUUCGCUUUUUUUUUUUCUUUUUUUGUUUUUCCCUCGUUUUUGAACUGCUAACCCCAAUGAAUGAUCAAGUCAUUCUUGAUUGAAUGCUCCGAUGGAUAUAUGCCAAAAACUCGGAAUAGGAUUGACCGCCCUUCGGAUUCGAGUCUUCAACCAAAUAAGAGAAGAAGAACAUUCCUGGGAAGAAGGAAUUCAAGCAAACAAAACAUGUUAACAAUUUGAUUCUCUUGAAAACGAUCAUUUACGUUAUGGAGCAGGCAGCAUUAAGAUCCUCAAGUAAUGGAAUCAAUAGUCUAGGGGUCAGGGAACAUUGAAAAUUUACUCAUGGAUUAGCACAAAGAAGCAUCAAAGAAGAAGUGAGCUAAAAGGCAGGAAAGAAGAGGUCAAGUUUGUGCUUAUCUUAAGAGCCAAUGUUUUCCGGCAGCCUUUCUUUACUAUUCUGAAGUGUCUAGGUUUUCUGAUCUGUUUUUUUUUUAAACUGGAUUUUGGUGUCAACUGUAUGUUUAGCUUUUUCAUCUGAUUGUCCUAUUUUGGUAUUCUUCCAGGAUUUUGGAUAUUUGUAUAAUACAUUCAUAUUUCUUAUAAUUUGCCCUUGAUUUUGUCAAUCUGUAAUUUUUUGGGUUAGGAUAUGUUUGCACGGUUCUUGUUUUUAACUCAAAUGUUGCAUGAUUCCAGUUUGGAGAAGGCUUAAUACAUAAUUCAAUUGUAAUGAUCAACUCUAUAGCUAGUUUGAUUUAUACUGGAUUAAGAAACACAAUUUUUAACGAUAAUAUUGAAAUAGAAAAGCACUUAAUAUAAAAAUAAUAUGGAAAAAAAAAAAGGAAAUGAGAUAUAAAUUAAUGUUAGAUUAAAAAUCAUGACUUAACAAAAAUAAAAAAUAUAAUAUUUUUUUAACGAUAUAAAUUAUGAUAUGUAAUAUUCGUGUAAAAUAAUAAUAUAAAUUAUUAGAUAAACUUUCAACAUGAAGGACAAUUAAUGAAUAAUAGGCCAACAAACCUUUAUUAGUGGAGUUAAUGGAAUUACUGAUAGAAAGAUCAAGUCGGUCCAACUGUUCAAUUAUGGAGAUUAAUAAGUGAUUUUUGAAAGUAUUUAUGCUUAAAGGAUAUUGGACUUGAAAUUUGAAGGAAUCAAAUUUAUAUCUAUAUAAACAUUGUUGGGGACAAUGGGCUGUAGCAACUUGUUAGUGGCAAUAAAUUAAUCAUUCAGAAACAAUUUUAUUUUUUAAUUAUUAUUUUUUCAAGGUUAAUAUUUAAAAAAAGUUGUUUAUGAUAAGUUUUUUGAUUGAUACGUGAAUUUUUUAAAUAAAAAUAAUAUUAAAAAUGGUAAAAUUAUAGAAUAAAUCAAUAAAAACUUCAAAGAUAAUAACAUAAUUACAAACAGAAAAAAAAAGUAAAAAAUAUUUAAAAAGUAAUUGAAAACUCAAAAAAUAAUUUUUUUCUUUGAAUCCGAAGAUAUAUGAUCAUGAAAAGAAAAUAUCAAAUGAGAAUGGAAAAAAUAUGACAUCAAGUGAAAAAAAUAUUGGUUAUAAAUUGAGUUAAUCCAUAAAUAAUUUUAAAUUAUAAUGAAAUAUUUUAUAUAAUGUGUGAAUUUUAAAAAUUUUUAAUAUGAUAUUUGAAUUAUAAAUAUGUUAAUUAAUAUAAUAUUUAAUUUAAUUUGAUUAAUUUUAAAUAAUAAUACGUGAUGGACAAAUAACAUUACAUGUAUCAUAUUAAUUAAUAAAUUUAUUAUUUAUAUAUUAUAAUAAAAAAUUUUAAAAUUAAAAUAUCAUGUUUUUAUUAUAGUUUAGGACUAUUCAUACAUUAACCUUUUCAAAAUCAAACCUUUAAACGAGAUAACAAAAAAAAAAGUGUUGGUGGUGGGUAAUUAGAUCUAAUUUUAAACUAUUUUGAAUUUAAUAAAUUUGUUUAAACUCAAUAACAAUUUGGAUUUUUUAAAAUAUUUUUUCUAUUUAAUUUUUUUAUUUUAUGUAUGAAUUAUAUUAUUUUAAAAAUAAAAAAUAAAUAAAAUGAUUAAUUGAAUAAAUUAAAUAUAACUACUAUUUUUUAUUUUAAAAAAAUCAAUGGUUUAAAAUAAUUAUCUUGAUUUAUUAUGAAUAUUUAAUAAAUAUUAUUAUUUUUUAGUAUUCAAUUUAAAAUUAUUUUUUAUAAAGAUAUUUUUUCACACCUUAAAAAAAAAAACCCACAAGCAGUGGAGGUAUCAUUUUAUUAUAUGGAUUUAAUCUUAAAUUAAAUGUAAUCAAUACUUUGGCGGGCCAGCCAGCAACAAAUUACCCAUCGCAUUCCAACUCUCAGAAUCCUACAGCUAAGUUUGGCAAUUCUAAAUACAAUGUACGGUGAUAAUAACAUGUAUAAAUAUAUGAAAAAAAAAUUAUAAAAAUGACAUAAUUUAAAUAUUCAUUCAAUAUUUGAGGGAGUUUGAAAAAAAUUAUUAUACCUCAAAUAAGUUUAAGAAAAAAAAUGGGACCGUAUAAUUAAAAAAUGAGUUGAACCUUAUCUUUAACAUUUAAGACUGGAGCACAUGGCUCGAUCUUUUUUUCUAAAUUAUAUAAUAUAUGUUAUGUAAUUUAUAUUAUAUAAAAGAUAAAAUAUUUAAUAUUACAAUGUAAACAUUUAAAAUUAGGUUAAGUUAUUCAUAUUUUAAAAUUUAAUAAAAAAUAAAAUUAUUAAAGAUUAAAUAAUUUUUUUAUUUAGAAAAAAAUAAUAUAAAUGGAUGAAUUGUAAUAUUUACAAAUAUGAGUAAAUUUGACAUAUUUAAAAUUUAAAUUAUUGAAUCGAGUCAAAUUAAAUUUGGACAAACAUAUAUAAUAUUAAUAUCAUAUUUUCACUAACCUUAUCUAUGGAUACUUUUAGAUUAAGAUCUUAAACUUUAAUAUAUUAUUAUAAAAAUUUUAAAUAUAAAUUAUUAAAUUUUCAUUAAAAAUAAAAUCAAAAGUAAAAAAAAAUAAAAUCUAUAUGGAUAUUCACAUACUACACAUUAAAUUGGUUUUAGAUCGCAAAUAUUACAUUUCAAUCCAAAAUUUUUAGAAAGAUGGGAUUGAAAUCAAAUUACAGAGAAUAACAAAGUUUUUUUUUUUUUUUUCUAAGUGAUCUUAUCCACUUUUUUGAAGUAUAUAGUUCAUAUAUUUAUAUUUUUCAUUUAAUGAUUUUACAUAAAUAAUAAAAUGAAUAUAGUAAAACGUAUCCAUACAAGAAAAAAUUAAUAGAUAUGGAAAUCCAACCUACCAAUGGCAUAACAUUCCAAUUAAAAAGUAAACGUGUUUCACCAAUUUAAUUUUACUUUAUUUGAAUAUUUGAAUAUUUUACAGAAAAAUUUAUUUUUAGGGCAUCUUAUGGUUAAAAAGAUAUUAUAGAAUUUUUCUUUUAAAAAAUAAUUUAUUAAUUAAAUAAAAAUAAUUUUAUCAUUUUGACUUUGACUCGAACUUACGUAUUUGAAUUAAUUUAAAUUCUUGGGAUUCAUGUAAGUUUAAUUACCUCAAGAUAUGAUUUGUAAUUUCUAAUUAAAAUAUCAAAAUAUUUUUAAAAAAAUAAAAAAAUAAAAAUUUAAAUGUAUAAGGAUAAUAAACUUGUUUUAUCUACAAAAUUUAUAAUUGACCAUAAAGGCAUUUUUUUUAAAGAUUUUUAGUUUAAGUUUACAAAUAAAACUUUUAAAGGAAAACAUUAUUUUUAUUAUUAUUUAACAUUAAAAUUAAAUAAAAAUAACUUUUGAAAGUAAAACCAUUUUCAACUCCAAUAGCAUUAAUUACUUGAGAAAAACGAGGCUAUUAUUUAAAUAAUGUUUUUUUAGUUUGGACAUCAAACGCGGAAACAAAAAUCCAUCUGUGGAAGUUAGUAGUUGGAAACAACCCAGAGACAGCACAGCAGAAACAAGCAAGUACACAAAAUUUUUAACUCUCUGGAGACAUCUUUUAGAAAAUAUGAAUUGAAGAAGAAAACAAAUACAUUGAAUCUGCCUAAAAAGAAUCCCAUUUGUCUUUUUAUUUUAUUUUUUUUAUUUUGCAUGUGAUUUUUCUACAAAUUGAAUUUUCUUUUUCUUUUUUUUUUGACUAUAUAUAUAUUUAAUUACAUGGACAAACCUUGCUUGUUCUCCUCUCUCUCUCUUUCAUUUUAUCUUUUUUUCUUUUCCCAUCUUUGUUGACUGCCCAUUGCCUUGAUUCAAACAGAUUUUACAUCCUUCUUCUCUUUUUCAUCAUGGGUAUGUUUCUUUUUCUGAGUUUUUUUUUUCUUUUGUCUGAAAAUCUUGUUUUUUGAUCUUUCAUCAAGGUCCUUUCUUUCUGUUUUGAUGUUUUAUAUAUAUAUAUAUAUAUAUAUAUAUAUAUUUUUUUUUUUCUCUUAUGAAGAUUUAUUUGAUCUCUUGCAAAUUUGUUAGUUGGGAAGAAUUUGGAACGACUGAAUUUCCUACUUUGCCUUGCAUUUCCAGUAUAAGACAGAUCAAUUGAAUUUGGGAAUGCCUGGAAGUGAAAAGGAACCGACUUUUUCCAUUUUUUUUGUAAAAAGUUAACAGUUUUUGGCUUGAUCUAUACAUUUUUAGACUUAUUUUUGUGUCAGUUUUCUGUAUUAAAGCAUCAAUUAUCUAUCUGUUAUAGAUAAAUUGGUUACAAUAUUAAUGGCCUUUUUGCUCUUUUUGGCUUUAUAGUGUCUGAAGCUAAAGAUAGAACCAUUUCUGUUGCCUCUGCUUUUCCUGGUCAUCAAGGAGUUAAUUUUCAAUUUUUCACCUGUCUCUCAGUAUUUUGCUCCUGGGAUUAAUGAUAAGAACUAAUAUCAAAUGGCCUGUUCAUGGUGGUCAGCAGUAGAAUUAUUUGGUAUCAACAUAUUAGUUUUAUUCAUUGAAUUUUACCUAUUGUUUGAACAUCUUCAGUAUGGAAAUGGAGAUGACUUGACUGCCAUAAAUGUUCAUAUCUGAUAGUUUAAUGAUAAGAAAUAACAUCAAAUGGCCUGUUCACGGUGUUCAGCAGUAGAAUAUCAACAUAUUCCGUUCAUUCAUUGAAUUUUACCUAUUGUUUUAACAUCUUCAGUAUGGCAAUGGAGAUGACUCCACUUCAUAAAUGUUCAUAUCUGAUAGGUUUUUUAGCUGUGUUACCUUUUAUAGAUCAUAGUGAUGGUUACAUCAUUGAUGAUCUCGCUUGGAUUGUAAUAGUAACGAUUGAUAUAUACUUGAUUAACGCGGUAGAUUUCAUUUGCUUUAUUAGGAGGGCAAUGAUUUGGGAAAACCAUCAUGCUUGAUAUUUGGUUGAUGGUGAUCAAAAUGUUCUUUUUUCUGUUUAUUGUUCAACCAGUUGCACCGGACAGAGACCUCAAAUUCCUAAGACAAGCAAUUGAUGAGGCAUAUAAAGGCGUUGAAUGUAAAGAUGGGGGCCCAUUUGGUGCAGUUGUUGUUCGCAAUGAUGAAGUAAUUGUGAGUUGUCACAAUAUGGUUUUGAGAAACACUGACCCUACUGCCCAUGCAGAGGUUACUGCCAUUAGAGAGGUAAGACCAAAACAAGAAAAGCAAAAAAAAAAAAAAAAAAAAUCAAAUUGCCUCAUCCAAUUUAUCUGUUUACUUAGAAGUUUUGAAAGUGCCAAUCUCCGAAACCAUGAAACAUUACGUAAAGCUAAAUGUUGUUUGUUAACUGUAGGAAAAUAUAAUAACUUCAGUGGAAGAUAUAUUAUAUAUAUUAUAUGCACCAACAUUCUUUUGGGAUUUUUCAGCAUUUUUCUGUGAUUCUACCGUGAUCUAUUUGCUCUGUUCAUUUUAGAUCAAUCUCAUAACCGGAUUUGGUGAAAGUUUAUUAUCAAUUACUAUGGCUUUGUUUUAUUUAAUGGCAAUGGUUAGCUGUAUUUCUAGGAGUCAUAUAUAGUCAAUAAGUUUGCAUAUAUUUUCUGGUUCUCUAAAUGGCAACAACUGGAAAGUAAUAAAUACUGUGAGGAAAUACAUUUUAAUUCAGCACGAUUGUCAUCAGUGUUGGUUAAACAUUGCUAUAUCAGAAUGUUAGGUUUUCAUAAGAUCAAAAUAACCACAUGGAAAUCCAUGCUUACCAUUUUCUAAUGCUUUGGACCGGACAUCUAUGACAGGCAUGCAAGAAGCUCAAUCAGAUUGAGCUCUCUGACUGUGAAAUAUAUGCUUCCUGUGAGCCCUGUCCAAUGUGCUUUGGUGCCAUCCAUCUGUCAAGAAUCAAGGUCCAGCAGCAAAACAUAUCAUUUCAUAAUAUACCUACAUAUCACAUUUCUUCAUCAAAAUUCUGACUUCUUUUUUCUUUUGCUGCAGAGGCUGGUUUAUGGAGCCAAAGCCGAAGCAGCCAUAGCGAUUGGGUUUGAUGAUUUCAUUGCCGAUGCCUUGAGAGGUACUGGUUUUUACCAGAAGGCUCACCUGGAGAUCAAGAAAGCUGACGGCACUGGUGCUGACAUUGCUGAACAAGUAUUUGAGAAGACCAAGGAAAUGUUUACCUUGUAUUAACAUCUUCAGUUCGUUACCAGAAUCAGACAGCAGUUUAUGAUAAACUGCCCAUUUAAGUUCUAAAUAAUAACUAUGCAUUGUUUGCCCAUUUAAGUUCUAAAUAAUAACUAUGCAUUGUUUGAUUUCAGAAAUCAUGUGAGAAAUAAAAGCUAUGAUUAAUUUUAAGGUCAGAAUUUAUAAAGAAAAUGGGAACCAUUAUUUCGAAGUUAACAAACAAAAAUGGCAUUGACACAGAUUUUAUGAACAUGUAAUGUUAUUGACCCAUUGCCACGGAGGUCAUAAAACUGUGAUUUUAGGGAUCUGCACCAUAGGCAAGGUUUAAAAAAAAAUGGCUAACAGAUGUAGAAUAUAAUUAUAGGAUCAUAUUGGAGUAAAUCAAGUAAUUUUAAGCAUGAGACGGUAAAAAAUAUGCAAACAACAUGGCAAAUAAUUUUAGCAAAAAGAGUUUGAAAAAAAUGUUUUAUAUUUAAUAUAUCAAUACGAAUUGUAAUAAAAUAAUUUUUAUAUUUUACAAGUAUUUAAUAUAAAAUCAAUAUACAAAUUACCUCAAAAAUUAAUAUGAUAGCAAAUAAAGGCCAUGUCCGAGCCUUACAAUUCCAACUUUAAAACGCUUUUCCAUGAUUCCAAGCUGUCCAUAAAAAUCAAAGACAAAGAAAGCAAGUUUGGUUAAUUUUAAUUUCAAAUAUAUCUGCCUUUUAUCUUUCUUUUACUUGUUUCUGUCUCAUC
rnacentral:lncRNA from 1 species